UAUGUGAAACUUUUCUCAUCCUUUUAGCAGAUUUGUGGGCGUUUGAAAAAUUGGGCGUGGGUCAAACCACGACAGUCCCUUGCAUACAGGUGCUACAAGAAAGUUGCAUGUGACUUCUAAAGGAUAAAGCCUCUGUCCUGCCAACGGUCUUCAAAAGCUACUCCAGAAGCAGAAAAAAAGUGCAAGGAAAUCAGUGAAAAGGAUGAGGACAGUAUAGAAGCAGAGGAAAGAAGAGGAAAUGAGAACAAAGGGGCUUCAA